GGGGGGGUACUAUGAUGCAGUCGAACGCUUUUUCUUUCACCGGAGCUUGCUCCACCGAAAGAAAAGGAGUGGCGAACGGGUGAGUAACACGUGGGUAACCUGCCCAUCAGAAGGGGAUAACACUUGGAAACAGGUGCUAAUACCGUAUAACAAUCGAAACCGCAUGGUUUCGGUUUGAAAGGCGCUUUUGCGUCACUGAUGGAUGGACCCGCGGUGCAUUAGCUAGUUGGUGAGGUAACGGCUCACCAAGGCAACGAUGCAUAGCCGACCUGAGAGGGUGAUCGGCCACAUUGGGACUGAGACACGGCCCAAACUCCUACGGGAGGCAGCAGUAGGGAAUCUUCGGCAAUGGACGCAAGUCUGACCGAGCAACGCCGCGUGAGUGAAGAAGGUUUUCGGAUCGUAAAACUCUGUUGUUAGAGAAGAACAAGGAUGAGAGUAGAAUGUUCAUCCCUUGACGGUAUCUAACCAGAAAGCCACGGCUAACUACGUGCCAGCAGCCGCGGUAAUACGUAGGUGGCAAGCGUUGUCCGGAUUUAUUGGGCGUAAAGCGAGCGCAGGCGGUUUCUUAAGUCUGAUGUGAAAGCCCCCGGCUCAACC
rnacentral:rRNA from 1 species